GACGAACGCUGGCGGCGUGCUUAACACAUGCAAGUCGAACGGUGAAGCGCCUUCCUUUUUGGUGGGUGUGGAUGAGUGGCGAACGGGUGAGUAACACGUGAGUAACCUGCCCCCUUCUUCUGGAUAACCGCAUGAAAGUGUGGCUAAUACGGGAUAUUCUGGGUCUGUCGCAUGAUGGGUCUGGGAAAGAUAUUGUUUCGGUGGGGGAUGGGCUCGCGGCCUAUCAGCUUGUUGGUGGGGGGAUGGCCUACCAAGGCGGUGACGGGUAGCCGGCCCGAGAGGGUGGACGGUCACACUGGGACUGAGACACGGCCCAGACUCCUACGGGAGGCAGCAGUGGGGAAUAUUGCACAAUGGGCGCAAGCCUGAUGCAGCGACGCCGCGUGAGGGAUGGAGGCCUUCGGGUUGUGAACCUCUUUCGCCAGUGAAGCAGGCCUGCCUCGUUUGUGGGUGGGUUGACGGUAGCUGGAUAAGAAGCGCCGGCUAACUACGUG
rnacentral:rRNA from 1 species